rnacentral:rRNA from 1 species
UACGUGGGGUGCAAGCGUUGUUCGGAAUUACUGGGCGUAAAGGGCUCGUAGGCGGCCAACUAAGUCAGACGUGAAAUCCCUCGGCUUAACCGGGGAACUGCGUCUGAUACUGGAUGGCUUGAGAUUGGGAGAGGGAUGCAGAAUUCCAGGUGUAGCGGUGAAAUGCGUAGAUAUCUGGAGGAAUACCGGUGGCGAAGGCAGCAUCCUGGACCAACACUGACGCUGAGGAGCGAAAGCCAGGGGAGCAAACGGG